UCUACAUUGGCUGGAUUUACCGUGUACGAGCUGGACUGUUUUGGACUUAUCUGUUGGCGUUUAGACCUGGACCUACCGAGAACCAGAUUUGUGUACCGAACCCUACUAUCCUUGACCUAUCGUGUGUGUUGGGGUAUCAGCCGGUUCUGGCCCCUUGGCAUCAGAGUCAGACCAAGGCUCCUGCGGUGGACGACUGGUUCCGGCGCGUGGAGGAAACCUGGGACUGCUCAUGUCCGCCUUCAGCGCGCCGUGCAGCACCAGAAAGUGGGCGCAGACCGUCGCCGCAGUGUGGCCCCGGUGUUCGCACCGGGGGACAGUGUCUGGCUCUCGACCAGAAACCUGCCCCUCCGCCUGCCCUGCCGGAAGCUGGGUCCGCGGAUUGUGGGGCCGUUUAAAGUCCUGAGGAGGGUGAACGAGCUUAUUACAGAUCAGCUGACGACCACCUGGGGACCUGUUCCACCACAGUUAAAGAUCACCUGACGACCACCUGGGGACCUGUUCCACCACAGUUAAAGAUCAGCUGACGACCACCUGGGGACCUGUUCCACCACAGUUAAAGAUCAGCUGACGACCACCUGGGGACCUGUUCCACCACAGUUAUAGAUCAGCUGACGACCACCUGGGAACCUGUUCCACCACAGUUAAAGAUCAGCUGACGACCACCUGGGGACCUGUUCCACCACAGUUAUAGAUCAGCUGACGACCACCUGGGAACCUGUUCCACCACAGUUAAAGAUCAGCUGACUACUUCCUGGGGACCUGUUCCACCACAGUUACAGAUCAGCUGACGACCACCUGGGGACCUGUUCCACCACAGUUACAGAUCAGCUGACGACCACCUGGGGACCUGUUCCACCACAGUUACAGAUCAGCUGACGACCACCUGGGGACCUGUUCCACCACAGUUACAGAUCAGCUGACGACCAGCUGGGGACCUGUUCCACCACAGUUACAGAUGGAGCCCAUAGUAUGGAAAGUUUCCUGGGGCAGGGAACCAUCAACUAUAGCUACAGUACAGCUAGACAGCAGCUCUGUCCCAAGAGGAUGAACCUUAACAUUCAACCUUUGACCCUACUGUCAUAUUAGUGUGUCAUUGGCUCACUCAUCUGAUAUGACAAUCCUCACUUCAGUAUGGCAUCGAUAAAGACACCUG
rnacentral:lncRNA from 1 species